UCAUCGUCAAUGUUGCUUUUUUGGUUUGCGGAUCUCUUGCGGUUUGUUGUUUGUAAAUGGACACGGGUCAGAUUGUCAACUAAUCCACGAUCGAGUCACGAGUGUCACGACAUCCGCGCCCGUUUGACCAGGCAAAUCCUCGCUGCUGAUGAAAUCCCUGCACAGUCCGUCGUCGCGCUUAUCGCCGCCAGCCAAAACUGGACGAAGAGCGUCGCGUUCGCCGUCCGCGACCCUCUUCGCGGGCAGCCCCUCCCGGAGCUUUCCCACACUGUUUUUUGCGGGGGCCUCCAUCUUCCACAUGUGGCAUCUGUCCAGUUUGUUUGAGAAUGAUGGUAUUUAUCACAGCUGGAACGGAAAAUGACAUUCCGUACAAAACAGGGAUUUGUUUUACUAACGUAUUGUGGAGGCGCCGGGUUUUUUCAGCGGCGGGAUGGAGAUUAUACACAACACGAUCACGGAAUAUCCCAUUGAAGCAACUUUGUUAAUAAUCGCUUCGAUCUUUAUUCGGAGGGAGAUGCUGGCCGUGGCCUGUUUGCUGAUGACGGUCUGCCGCAGCUUGCAGAAGAGCGUGGUGGUGGGCAUGCAGACGUCGGGACUGUUUAUUCUGCAGUGGCAGGUUUUUGGAUUCUUGCGGCGUUCCUGGAACUUGGGCAUCGUGUUGGGUCUGAAGAGUUGUAUGCUACCAGUCGGCACUCGGCAUGCAUAAUCUGCUUGAACAGCCCAAGAUCAUGGGCGAAUAAUGGAAUUAUCCGCUGGAAGAUAUUUUCACCUGGAUCAACAACCAUGAUACAUCGCCAAAGGUGCUGUGUUUGCCGGACCGAUGGUCCAUCUGCAUCUCCGCAUGGGACGCCAGAUUGUCAGUCCUCCGCAUUACGCCAGUGCUGAAUUAAUCAGGUCUUAUGACGGAUGUGUUUUCAAGAAAAAAAAACGUUGAAGGUGUACUCGGCGUACAGCCGGAAAUCACCGCGGGAAGUCCAUCGUUUCUAUCGGCAGUUGGGCUGGGAUUUUGUCGUCUUUGAGAAUUCCUGCUCUACUGGCGCAAAACAAAGCAGGCUGCGGUAUGCCGGAGAUUUGGGACGUGAAGGAGCCGGCGCGGGCCGGAUACGCAACGACCUGUACGAAAUCCUCAAAGUGAGAAGAACAUUUGCACUGAGAACUGACGCCCUAGACUCUUAACUCAGUUGAUCGGGGAUCUGUGUCUUUAAUAAAUAUUGAAUGUUCUUGCCAUUUUUGUGCAGCGCGGAUCUGUGUUUUUGUAACAUGAUAGUCUUGCCACAGAUUUUUUGUUGUGACCAAAGUGUUUUUAUAGUGUUAAGUGUAGAAGUUUUCCGCUCGGUUGUUUUUGGAUCCACCGACGAUUUUCGUAAUAUUUUUUGGCGGUUGGAUGAAUUUUAUUUUUUCGUGUGGCGAAUAACUGGCGAUUGCCUUCCUGGUGUAGUGCGGUGACUUUUUCUAAUCAUAA